UAUACCUCAUGAAUCAUUAUACAAUGGGUUUAAUCUUGUACGGCACGAGAGAGCAAAUGGCCAGGCAAGGGUUAAAAAAGGUGAGUAAUUAUAUUAUUAUUAUAAAUCUUAACAUCAAGUUGUUUUGAAACAAUCCAUUUGAAAUAGCAGCUUUAGUUUUUUGGUUGUUCCGUUGGAGGAAAAAUACACAAUGCAUACUGGGUACAUUCUAUUUGAGUUUUGCAGCAAAAUACAAUUAUUUUUCCAUUUUUACGCAUGUUGUCAGGUCACAUUUGAUGACUAUGAUGGAGCCAUUGGAUUUGUCAACAUAAUAAAUGUGCACUGGAAGUUUGUGACAGUAUUUCAAAAUGCGCCGGAACCGACUUGGAAAGGAGGACUGGGUUAACAUCAAGUGGCAGCCGGGCCAGAUAACCCACACCUGCCAGAAAGAUGGCAGCAGUUGUGGGAUCUUUGUCAUGCAGAUGGCCAAGAUGACGGUGGAACUUCCAAAGAUUCCGCAGCAUUUUCGCAUCAACUCAUCUAAACAAUCUAUUGAAAAGCUAAGAAGAGACGAGGCUGAAGACAUUCUGAAACUAGAAUGGGCACUCGGUAGAGCGCA